rnacentral:rRNA from 1 species
UACAGAGGGGGCAAGCGUUGUUCGGAAUUACUGGGCGUAAAGGGCGCGUAGGCGGCCUGUUAAGUCGAACGUGAAAUCCCCGGGCUCAACCCGGGAACUGCGUCCGAUACUGGCAGGCUUGAAUCCGGGAGAGGGAUGUGGAAUUCCAGGUGUAGCGGCGAAAUGCGCAGAUAUCAGGAAGAACACCUAUGGCGAAGGCAGCACUCUGGGACGGUACUGACGCUGAGACGCGACGGCGUGGGGAGCAAACCGG